GAUCCUGGCUCAGAAUCAACGCUGGCGGCGUGCCUCAGACAUGCAAGUCGAACGAGAACCUCCCUUCGGGGAGGGGACAGUGGCGCACGGGUGAGUAACACGUGGGUAAUUUACCUUUGGGUGGGGAACAACAGCCGGAAACGGCUGCUAAUACCGCAUAAUGCAGCGGCUCGACAUCGAGACAGUUGUUAAAGCGGGGGAUCGCAAGACCUCGCGCCUAAAGAGAAGCCCGCGGCAGAUUAGCUAGUUGGUAGGGUAAUGGCCUACCAAGGCAACGAUCUGUAACCGGCCUGAGAGGGCGGUCGGUCACACUGACACUGACAUACGGGUCAGACUCCUACGGGAGGCAGCAGUCGGGAAUUUUGGGCAAUGGGCGAAAGCCUGACCCAGCAACGCCGCGUGAAGGAUGAAGCUUUUCGGAGUGUAAACUUCACAAGAAUGGGAAGAAUAAGUUUAGGAUAAUACCCUGAACGAUGACGGUACCAUUUGUAAGCUCCGGCUAACUCCGUGCCAGCAGCCGCGGUAAUACGGGGGGAGCAAGCGUUGUUCGGAUUUACUGGGCGUAAAGGGCGCGUAGGCGGCGCGACAAGUCACUUGUGAAAUCUCUGAGCUCAACUCAGAACGGUCAAGUGAUACUGUCGUGCUAGAGUGCGGAAGGGGCAACUGGAAUUCUUGGUGUAGCGGUGAAAU
rnacentral:rRNA from 1 species